AAGGAUAAGUUAGAAAGGGCGCACGGUGAAUGCCUUGGCACUAGGAGCCGAUGAAGGACGCGACGAACCGCGAUAGGCUUCGGGGAGCUGUAAGUAAGCUUCGAUCCGGAGAUUUCCGAAUGGGGGAACCCACCAUCCGUAAUGGGAUGGUACUGGCAUAUGAACACAUAGGAU
rnacentral:rRNA from 1 species